GUUUAUAUAGUUUAAAUAAAACAUAGCACUUUCACAGCUAAGAUAGAAACUGUCUUAUAAGCCCAUGAAAUA
rnacentral:tRNA from 1 species